AUGACAAGCAAUAUAGCCGAAUGGUUCAAUAGGGUGCUCAAAGGUGCACGUGGAUUACCCGUGACGGCAAUAGUUCAACACACAUUUGACAAGAUGAAUGCGUACUUUCUAAAGUACUCGAUGGAAAUGGAUGCACAGAUAGCGGGUGAGAACAAUUGCAAGUACAAGUACAAGUUCCCACCCAAGGUUGAUGACUAGUGGUUGGAAUUUCAAUCACGGAAGGCGGACCCAGAAUAAGCUAUACUAUAUGACAACGAAGAGUGGAAGUACGAAGUGAAAGAACCGGGAGGAACCACAAACGAUGGCCGCCAAUAUGGAGGUUGGGAUUUCAAGGUGUCACUAACACGUUGUGAUUGCUCUUGCGGGAGGCCAUUGUUGCUUCAUCUCCCAUGCCCACACAUGUAUACCACCGGUCGUGUUAGGAAUGUGGACGUCAAUCACCCACUCACCAUGAGGGAGUCGGAGUUCUCAAUCAUGACGGUUAAGAAAACAUGGAGAGAGAGAAUGUACCGUGAGUGUCGCGCUAGGGAGCAUGCAUUGAAGAGGAAAUGUGAGGAGGCACAGAAGAAGCGUCUCAAGGAUUUUCCAGAAAGAACCUUGAACUUUGGGCAUUUGAAGAUGAAACAAAAGAGAGGGAGAACAAGAUAUUCAUGGAGAGGGUGGUUAAGGAGGCUCACCGCAUAA
rnacentral:rRNA from 1 species